CAGUGGAAAGGUCUGGGGCUGGUAAAUGGCUUAGGCAGAAGGGCAUGCACCGGCCAAACCUAACAGCCCAUCUCUGAACUAUGUCCUCAUCAAGGCUGGGAUGCACGCUGGCUUCUCUACACAGUCUGGCCCAGUGAUUUUCAUUAAGCCAACUCAUACCCAGUUUCUACAAAUGAAAAUCAAGUCAAUCAUCUAAAAUUUCAUGAUUUCUUCCCAUCAAGAGGAUCUGGAGUCUUCUGUUCCCAUUAAAACUGAAUUUAUGGCAGUGCAAACCUGGGCCAGACUGGGUAUAAAAUGACAAAAGCAUGUUUAUAUUCUUAAAAAUUUCUGCAGAUUGCAUAGAAAGUUC
rnacentral:sRNA from 1 species